rnacentral:lncRNA from 1 species
UAAUAUGCCCUAACUUUUCUGUACGAAAGGAGACCGUAAAGACAGAGCAAACGAAACUUGAGGAUGAAGAUGAAGAUGUGUUGAUAAGAUCUGAUACGUAAAAUGCAUAAAACUUAAAUUUUCUCGGUAAAAAGUCACUUACUAUUAUUUCUCUUUCAAAACUGCCAUUAAGGAAACACGCAUUAAAAUACCCGUUUGGAAAAAAAAGGGGGGGGGGGGCCUGAUAUAUAUAUAUAUAUUAAGCCGUCAUGUUAAGAAUGUAAAUUAUUUGAAUUAAUAUGGGGAAGUUUGUUGAAAUGUUCGCCGAUUAUGGCCAGAUAAUUGUUUUCCAUUGAUUUGUGACUAAUAAACUUUUGAGCUGCAAAAAAAAUCAGUUUCUUUUAACGGAGCUAUCCAUUUGAUUUUUAGGGGGGGGGGGGCAGGGCAGGAGUUUUGAGUAAAAAAAAGUCAGGAUGACACACUUGCAAAAAAAAAUAAGACAAUUUUGGUAAAAAAGUCAGGAUAAACUAAUAAAAAAAAAGGCAGGACAAUGUAUUAUAUGUGUCUGGCAGGACCGAACACAGUGAAAAAUAAAAAGGCAGGACAGAGAUUACAGCUAAAAACUAAAUGGAGCUACCAUUUGAUUUUUAUGGGGAGGCUAGGAUGAAACAUUUUGUCCUGCCUUUUUUUUUUAUUUCUUAGCUUAUCCUGACUUUUUUACAAUAAUUGUCAUCCUGCCAUUUUUUUUAUUUUUUUUUGCCAAGUUACUCAUCCUGCCUUUUUUUUUUUACUCAAAAUCCUGUCCUGCCUUUUUUUUCAAAUUUCAUCCUAGCCCCUAAUUAUGAUUGACUUAUUGCAACUGUAAAAGAGAGUACAAUAAAUUGAAAAAUAAAUUAAAAAAGGAUUUUUUUCAUUCCUUAAUAAAACAAAUAAAUGAGAUAAACCCAAAGAACACCAAAAAAUUUUGGGGAAGCAUUAAUAAUUACAAAAAAAAGAAUAAUAAUUGUGAGCCUGCUAUUUCUGCCAAAGAAUGGGAGAUUCACUAUAGAAAUUUGCUUGCUUCAAGUAAUAAUGAUACAACUGAUACAAAUCAAAAUAUAGAGAACAAAAAUCACAACUUUUCUAAUACAUCCCUUAAUGUCCCUAUUACACGUAAAGAAAUCAAAGACUGUAUUAAGAAGUUAAAAAAGGGAAAAUCUGGAGGUCCUGAUUUGAUAAUUAAUGAAUUUCUAAAGGUGUGGUCAAACACUCUAGUUUUACUUUUGACAAAACUUUUUAAUAAGAUACUUAACUCAGAAAAAUUCCCCAAAAUUUGGAACAUUUCUCUAUUGACAUCAAUUUAUAAAUCUGGUGACCCAUCUGAUUGUGGGAACUAUAGAGGUAUAAGCAUAACAAGCUAGCUGUCUUGGUAAAGUCUUUACAUCCAUUUUACAAAAACGACUUAGUGAUUUUCUUGAAACACAUAAUUUAUUAUUUUCAAAUCAAGGUGGUUUUAGAAAAAAAUUACAGAACUGUAGAUCAUGUCUUUAUUUUAAAAACAAUAAUAAACAAAUAUUUGUUUAAAUGUAAAAAGAAACUAUAUGUGUGUUUUGUAGAUUUUAAAAAGGCUUUUGACAGUGUCUGGAGAUCAGCUCUGUUCUUAAAAUUACAAAAUAAAGAAAUACAAGGCAAAUUUUAUAUAUACUGCAUGACAUGUACUCUAAUACCUUAUAUUCAUGUAAAUAUCAAAAAUAUGUUUACCAAGCCUUUUCUUGAUAAUCAGGGUUUUGUCAAAAAAAACAAGGUGAUCAUUGUUUAAGUCCAACAUUUAAUUUAAACAAUAAUUUAAUUUAAUAUAUUUGUUGAUGACAUAGAAAAAUACUUAGAUACAAACUUAACUAGUGCAGUAAAUUUAAAUGGUCAAAAAGUGAACCAUUUAUUGUAUGCUGAUGAUUUAUUAUUGAUAUCGGAAUAUGCAGAUGGUCUCCAGAACUCUCUUGAUUCUUUACAAAAACAUAGUACUGAAUGGAAACUGGACUUGAACCUUAAGAAAACAAAAAUUAUAAUUUUCUCUAAAACUAAAAGUAAAUUAAAAAAAACUGUUACUUUUAUUACAGUUCUAAUGCAAUUGAAAUUGUUGAUUGUUAUAAAAUACUUAGGAGUGGAUUUUCAUAGCUCUGGAAAAUUUAUACAAGCAGUGUCAAGCCUCUCAGAUAAAGCUAAAACAGCAUAUUUUGCAUUGAAGUCAAAACUACCAUAUAGUGAAAAUUUGUCUGUUAAGACUUGGCUCCAGCUUUUUAAUUCAAUGAUAACUCCUAUUUUAACUUAUGGAUCAGAAGUAUGGUUAUCAGAAUUCAAACCAAAUUUUGAAGCAUUUAUAGACAAAAGUAAAUUAGACAAAACACAAAACUCCAUAUUUAAAAACAUACUUGUGGUUCAUGGAAAGUCUUCCAAUCUAGCAGUGCGGUGUGAAUUGGGCACUUUACCCAUUCGCAUUAAAUGUUAUCAACUACUUAUGUAUAAAUAUCUAUGAGCGUCUCAGUAAAUAUUGGUGAACAAGUCUGGUGGUAAACAACAAGCAUUUGAAAUUUUCCCCUUACUCAAUUUUGACGCCUGCAGUUGAAACACUUUGAAGUGGACAAAAACUAUAAAGACUCAUGUUUUUCUACAAAAUAUUGGCAUUUUAUCAAAAAAAUCCUAUGCGAAUCAAGUAUGCAAAAAAAAAAAAAUUCAAUGGAGGAAAGGGUAUAAUUGAAAAAAACUCACUAAAUUAAGAAUAAUGCACACUCAUUAGCAAUAGAAAACUGGGAGGUAUGCAAGACCAAAAAUACCAUCUAAUGAGAGAUUUUGUAAAUUUUGCACAGGAAAAAUUGAAAAUGAGAUUCAUUUCUUGAUUGAAUGUCUGCAAUAUAACAAAAUUAGAUCUAAAUAUAAAAUUAAUGAUAUAAAUUUAAAUAAUUUGGAUGAAAAUUUUACCAAAAUGUUAAAUCCUAUGUCUGAAAAGGAAUUAAAAUCUAUUUGUAUGUAUAUUGAAGAAGCUCUUGAUUUGAGAGACCACCAUACCGUUUCAUCAGAUAAUAAUCCUUGACAGUAGUUUGUCCAUAUACAUAUAUAUAUAUAUAAAUAUCUUAUAUUGUGUGUUUUAAGUAAAUAUAUGAAAAUCUAGAAUAAUACUGAAAUAUAAGUCUAUGGUAUCAAUAUCAGUUUAUAAUGUAUUUGUAUACAUAGAAUUGGCUUGACUUGUUCCAUGAAUCUUUAUUUCAUUUGUGUGUUGUUUUAAUAUUAUUAAUUAUCUGUAUUUGGAUCACGCCUCUAUUGAGCUCUUUCCAAUAAAAUAUUGAAUUGAAUUGAAUAAACAGGAAUCUCGGGAGGGGGCACUUCCUAUACAUAUAAGGUGUCAGCUGGGAACAGUAUAUUUAAUACAUGUACACAUGUUCCCAAUGCAUAGUCGGAUCCUUGGCCCCCCCCCCCUUUCGUGGGAAAAAAUUGGUUUAUCAGAGGCGGAUUUAUCAUUUAGGAGGGGGCCUCCCCCCCUUUUUUUUUUUGGAAAAAUUUGGUUGCUUAUAUAGGAAAUCACUGAAGCGUGACUGGAGCGGCCCCCUCUUAGGUCAGUCAGUGGGCCCCACUUAUGAAAAUUUUUGGAUCCGCCACUGUUUAUAUAUAGGGAAUCAUUGAAGCAUGACUGUAGCUUAAAUUCAGCUUAAAUUUUGCAUACCAAUUGCUAAUAUAUAUUUAGUGUGAAUUAAUUUGCUAGAUAUGUUCAAAAAUUUAUAUUGUCCGAAAUGUUUUACUUCUUGUUUAAUUUCAAAAACUUUUUCUACUAGCAAAUGAGAACUGGCAGAAGAAGUUAUGUUAGAUUUGUGAAGCUCUUGGCUGCAUUUAUAAGCAUCUUUCAAUAGACUGAAUUCAGUUGUAAGAUUUUCAAAUCUAUACCAGUAUUUUACAAUUGACUUUACAAUAUCAUAAUGUAAGGGGAAAAGACUGAAGUGGGGACCCCCUCUUAGGCAGUCUAUGGGCCCCCUCUUAUGAAAAUUUCUAGAUCCGCCAUUGUUUUCUAGUUUAAAAAUAUGUGAAUAGGUGUUGAAAAUAUUAAGAAAUAUAUUAAGUCAACAAAUUAAAAAGAAAAUGUGGUACACUGUAUGAUUGCCAAUGAGACAACUCACUAUUAUGUUUCUAGAUAGGCAGAAUCAGGGGGCCCGGUCUGACAACACCUUUUGUUAGAAAAAUUUAGUUGAUUGUAUAGGGAAUGACUCGAGUAGGGACCCCCUCUUAGGCAGUAAAAGGGCCCCCUCUUAUGAAAAUUUCUAGAUCCACCAUUGAUUUCUAGUUUAAAAAUAUGUGAAUAGGUGUUGAAAUAUUCAGAAUAUUAAGUCAACAAAUUAAAAAGAAAAUAUAUGGUAUACUGUAUGAUUGCCAAUGAGACAAAUCUAGUCUCUAGACAAUAGACACAAUUACAUUAGAAAUUAACAACUUUAGGUCACUGUAUGGCCUUCAACAAUGAUAAAACCAGAAACUACUAUAAGUUACAAUAAGGAGGCUCGAGGGUACAUGUAUAAAAAUUUAAGAGAAAAAUAAACAUUUAUUUUUUCAUUACAAAGGAGUAGAUUCAGUAAGACCCCUUUUUGGCCCAAAAUAUAGCAGUUUUACAAAAAUUGUGAAAAUGUAAUCCUUAAGCUAUUUAUUGGAAAGUAGCAUGCUUCUGCUAAAUAAAUAUAGGAUGUUUUUGACAAUACAAUGCAUAUAUCAGGUACUAGCAUCAUUAAGUUAUGCUAAAUUACUGAAAUCUUCAAAAUUUUAGAUUUUUUGGUAAAUUUUAGACGGUUUCUGUCUUAAAUGAAAGUGUAAAUUUUCCCCUUACAUUAUGAUAUUGUAAUUAUUCGUGUUCAUUUAUAAUAUUGAAAUGUUAAUUAUACCCCAUGCAACGAGUUGCGGAGGGUAUAAUGUUUUUGACCUGUUCGUCCGUCCGUCAGUCCUGUUUCUUGUCAUCACAACUCCUUUCAAACCAUGCAUCAGAAUUUCAUGAAACCUUUUCAGAUAAUAAGGACAUACUAUGUAGUUGUGCAUAUCAACGGGAAAUUGCGAUUCAAUUUUUUUCCUAGGAGUUACGCCCCUUUGAACUUAUUUACUUCAAUGUUCUACUGCAACAGUUUGUUAUGGCAACUCCUCUCAAACCACACAACAGAAUUUCACGAAACCUUUUCAGAUAAUAAGGACAUACGAUGUAGUUCUGCAUAUCGACGGGAAAUUGUGAUUCAAUUUUUUUUCUAGGAGUUACGCCCCUUUGAACUUAUUUGCUUCAAUGUACUUCUGCAACAGUUUGUCAUCUCAACUCCUCUGAAACCACACAACACAGAAUUUCAUGAAAUUUUGUAGAUAAUAAGGACAUACUAUUUAGAUGUGCAUAUUGGCAGGAAAUUAAUUUUUCUUAUACAAUUUUUUUUUCUUACACUAAUUUAAUUUCUCCAAUGACAAUGUGGGGACGUGGGGUAUGUGAGUGUGCUCACUAAGGUUCUUUAAUUGUAUUUAAUGAUAAUACAUAAUAUAUAUAUAUACAUGUAAAGGUUGAGGAUGAACACAGACAUGACAGAUGCGGCCACUUUCAUUUUUUGACAAAAACCAUCAGAAAAGUGACAUUUUUUGGCAAAUUCAAUAGAUUUUUCAUACGAAAGCUUGAAUCUGAGCGUUUUUAAUGACUAAGUCAGUCAAAAUCUUUCACAUUAACUAAUUGAAUCAAUUGAAAUAGACAGUUAAGAGUUUAAAAAGUGUCCAAAAUCUUUCGUUAGAUGAAUUUGAAAUUUGAGGCCAAAAUCGGAACCUUACCUACUCCUUUUAUUUGUUACCUUAAGUAGUUGUUACUUUAUCAUAUGGUACAAAAAUAAUUAAAAAAAAAAAAUCAAUUUUUGAUGGCCUCAGAUGAAUUGUAAAAUGUAGAUAUCAUUAAAAUUGCUCAAAAUUAUCUCCCUUUGGUAUAAAAAUGCCAUUUUUGGAACUCAUCCGUGACCUUUAUUUUUUAUUAUUAUUUUCAAUUAAGCUGUUCUUAAACUAAACUAUUGUAAAAUUUGAGCGAUUUCUGUAAUUAAGUUCUCUUAUUUCGGUAUUACCUCUAUUUCUGCUAUUAGUUCAACAGAAAAAAGGUACCUUUACAAAAAUGUAUGCUUCUUUCGAAGGCAGGUUGUGAACGGUGACCCCAUUUUUUUUUAUUAAGUAUAAGAUUUAAGUACGUUUAUCAUUUUUACAGAAACAAUUUUUCCUUGUAGAUGUUGCAGAUACAUUCAUACAAAUGAUGUUGAAGAAACAAAGAGAAAAGGAACUUGGACUGUACCAGUUUGUUUGCAGCUUCUAAGGUGAAGUAUACUUAUUUAAAUGUUUUGUAAAAAUAAGAAGAUGUGGUAUGAUUGUAAAUGAAACAACUCUCCAUGAGAGACCAGUGAGACAAAAAUUAAACUUUGUUUGAUUUUAACAAAAGUUGAAUUCUUGGACUUCUUUGAUGCUGAAUCUAAACAUGUACUUAGAUUUUUGAUUAUGGACUGUUGGUCCAAAUCGGGGUUCAAAUUAAACUUUGUUUGAUUUCAACAAAAAUGGGGUUCUUUAAUAUGCUGAAUCUAACCGUGUAUUUAGAUUUUUAAUAUUUGGGCCCGGUUAUCAAAUUGAUCCACAUUGACAUGCUUGAGGUCUAAAGGGUCUAAAAUUGCACAUUAUUUGAUUUCAUCAAAAAUUGAAUUCUUGGGGUUCUAUGAUCAUGAUGAUAUGCUGAAUCUAACCAUGUAUUUAUAUUUUGGAUAUUUGACCAUAAUAGGCAAAUGUCCAAUUUAAAAUUUAUAAGUUUUUUUCUCGCCUUGACGGAGUAAAAAAAUGAGACAUAGGUAUGGUGUUCCCCGCGGCGGCAGCAUCAACAAUGUAUUAGUUUGUGAUUAGGUCAAUUUAUGGUGAACCACUAGUGGUAGGUCAAUGAUAUUUGGUAUGCAGUUGUAUAAGCAUUGGCAUAUCUCAUUUUCAUGGAGAUUUUUUUACUCCGCCUCCUUAGUCAUGGUCUAUAGACUUUGAUAAUUUUGCUAAGUUAAUAUGUAUUAGUUUGUGAUAAGGUCAGUUCAAGGGGAACCAUUAGUGGUAGGCCAAUGUUAAUUGGUGUUCAGUUUUAUAAACAUUAGCACAUCUCAUUUCCAUGGAGAAUAUUUGGCCCUGCCCCCUCAGUCAUGGUCUAUUGACUUUGAAACUUUUGCUUAGUUUACAUGUAUUAGUUUGUGAUAAUAUCAGUUUAAGAUGAACUGCUAAUGUUAAGUCAAUGAUAUUUGGUAUGCAAAUUUAUUGUCAUUUGAAAGUGUUGUUUUCAUGGAGAUUAUAUAGCCCCACCCCUGAUCAUGGUUCAUUGACUUUGAAACUUUUACAUAGUUUAAAAGUUAAUGUUUGUGUUUAGGUUCGUUUAAAGGGAACUACUUAUUAUGAGUCAAUGGUAAUUGGUAUGCAGUUGUAUUAUAUUUAUCAUUGGCACAUCUCAUUCCAUGGAGAUUGUUUAGCCAUGUACCUUCAGUCAUUGUUCAUAGACUUUGAAUAUUUGCAUAACUUACAUGUUAAAAUAUUGCUAUUUAAUUUCAACAUUGCAUUAUCAAAAUUACAUGAAUAUUUGCAUAACUUACAUGUUAAAAUAUUGCUAUUUAAUUUCAACAUUGCAUAAUCAAAAUUACAUGAAUAUUUGCAUAACUUACAUGUUAAAAUAUUGCUAUUUAAUUUCAACAUUGCAUAAUCAAAAUUACAAAAAGGGGAUAUCGAUACAUAUCUCUGUGAUAACAGUUUAUUAAGUGUAAGUUCUUAGACCACAUUCAUUCUGUGUCAGAAACCUAUCUUGUGUCAACUAUUUAAUCACAAUCCAAAUUCAGAGCUGUAUCAAGCUUAAAUGUUGUGUCCAUACUUGCCCCAACUGUUCAGGGUUCGACCUCUGUGGUCCUAUAAAGCUGUGCCCUGCGGAGCAUCUGGUUUGUAAAGUGAAAUUCUCUCUUAUUAUAAGUAAUAGGAUAACUAUAUUUGGUAUGUGAGUACCUUGCAAGGUCCUCAUGGCUGUCAUACAGUUUUCACUUGACCUCGACCUCCUUUCAUGGAUCAGUGAACAGUUUUGGUGAUCAUGGAUGGCUUUCAUAGUCAUGGAUACAUUUUAAGUUUUGGUUAAAGUCAUGUUAAUUGUUUUGUGUAAACAAAAUUGUCGUCAAGUGACCAUCAAGUCCAUAUCAGAUACUAAAAGCAAUAUGUCUAGUAUAUUUGGUGUAUGGAGGACUGUAAGGUGUACAUGUCCAACUGGCAGGUGUCAUCUGACCUUGACCUCAUUUCCAUGGUUCAGUGAUUAUAGUUGAGUUUUUGUGGUUUUUUUUUCUGUUUUUCAUAUACUAUUUGCAAUAGGUCUAAUAUAUUUGGUGUAUGGAAAUAAUAACAGAAUGAUUGUUAGGUGUACAUUUCUAGCUGGUAUGUGUCAUCUGCCCUUGACCUCAUUUUCAUGGUCAGUGGUCAAAGUUAAGUUUUUGAGUUUUUGUCUUUUUAUCUAAUAAUAUAUGCAAUAAGUCUACUGCUAUAAUAACUAUAUUAGGUGUAUGGAAAUAUAUUAGUUGUAUGGAAGAAUUAUUAGCUGUAUAGAUGUGUGCCUUGUAUGGUUCAUCUCACCUUGCCUGUCCUUGGCCUCAUUUUCAUGGUUUAGUGGUCAAUUUUUAGUUUUUUUAGGUUAAUGUUAAGGUUAUGUUUCAAUUGUAAUAAAGCUUUAUUUUAAGGACUACAAAAGAAGGCGAGACAUUUCAGCGUGUGCACUCUUUGUUUUAUAUUAAACCCUAGAAAGAAGCUACAGAUUAAUGUUAACUGCAAAAAUACUAAAAUCCUUUAUUAAUUAGAUCAUGUAGAUACAGGAAAUGAAAAUAUUUUGAAAUUUUUUAUCAUAAAAAUGGUAAUGCUUAUAUAUUCAAGUUUCACUAAAUUCCAAGAAGGGUUUCCACAAAUAACAAUGACUGAUUUUCAAAAUGAUCAUCAUGUAAAAAUGAAGAGAUGUGCUAAGAUUGCCCAUGAAAACUAUCUUUAUGAACAAUGACAGUUCAGUGGUUUGCUUUCAGCCUUUAGCAAAAAUAAUUACCAUAUAUAUUGUAAUAAGCUAUAAAUAAAAGCCCCCCAUUGUAAAAUGUUAAACAAUUAAAAAGUAAAAAACAGCGUCCUGAUCUUUAUAAGUUCGAAGAAUAAAAUUGAGUCAUAUUAUGGUAUGAUGUUGUUGUUAGCGAUGUAUGUCGACACAUAUGGUUUCCGGAUAAUUAUAUAGUUUAAGCGAAUGGAUAUCCAUGAAAUUUUACACAAGGUUUAAUACCAAAAAGGAAGGUUGGGUUGAUUUUUGGGGUGAUGGUACCAACAGUUUAGAAAUUAGGGGCAAAAAAGAAGCAUUUUUGUAGUUUCCAGACAUUAACUUGUGUGCCAGAGUGUACUAAUCUCUCUGAAAUUGUUCUUCAAGGUUCCAUAUCACAAAGGGUAGACUGGAAUUGUUUAAAGGGGUAAUUGCCUCAAACGUUCAGGAAAUAGGGGGUCAAAAAACAAGCAUUUUUUCUAAUUUCCAGACAAUAUUUUGUGUUUAAGUGUAUGGAUUUCUUUAAAAUUGUACUGCAAAGUACCAUACCACAAAGGAAAAGGCUGGGAUUAAGUUUUGGGGUAAUUACUGAAAGGGGGUUGAAAAAAAUUGGGGGAGGGGGAUUUUUUUUCUCAUAAUUUUGAUCAAAAUCCAAAUACAGACAGUCUAUCAAGCUUGAAUAUUGUGUCCAAACAUGCACCAACUGGUCAGUCAAAUAACAAGGCUGCGCUGCACAUCAUUUUCUUAAUCAUAUUAAUCUGACAUGUUAAAGUUUGUACAUUAUGAAGUUACUAACCUGUUGAUUUUGUGUAUUUCAGAUUAUUAUUGAAAAAAGAGCACUUUGAAGUACUAGGAGAAUUUGAAAACAUCUUGGUGAAAUAGUCUGACUGAUUAUGACAGAACAUCAAAAGAAAUGACGAAAAAUUACACAUCUUAUCAAAAUAGUACUACUAGAAACUAAAAGCUACUUGCAAUUUUCACUGGUUUUGAGAUCAGUAACAGUCUGACAAGGAAAGAAUUUAAUGAACAUGAUUAUGAUGCCUC